rnacentral:rRNA from 1 species
UACGAAGGGGGCUAGCGUUGCUCGGAAUCACUGGGCGUAAAGCGCACGUAGGCGGAUUUUUAAGUCAGGGGUGAAAUCCUGGAGCUCAACUCCAGAACUGCCUCUGAUACUGGGAAUCUUGAGUCCGGGAGAGGUGAGUGGGACUGCGAGUGUAGAGGUGAAAUUCGUAGAUAUUCGCAAGAACACCAGUGGCGAAGGCGGCUCACUGGCCCGGUACUGACGCUGAGGUGCGAAAGCGUGGGGAGCAAACAUG